AAACUUUUAGUAUAUGUUUAAAGUACGUUCAGUUUCCAUCUGAAAAGAUUAUUUUUAUUAUAAAAAGUUUA
rnacentral:tRNA from 1 species